rnacentral:rRNA from 1 species
UGGGGAAUAUUGCACAAUGGGCGCAAGCCUGAUGCAGCCAUGCCGCGUGUAUGAAGAAGGCCUUCGGGUUGUAAAGUACUUUCAGCGAGGAGGAAGGCGGUAAGGUUAAUAACCUUAUCGAUUGACGUUACUCGCAGAAGAAGCACCGGCUAACUCCGUGCCAGCAGCCGCGGUAAUACGGAGGGUGCAAGCGUUAAUCGGAAUUACUGGGCGUAAAGCGCACGCAGGCGGUCUGUCACGUCGGAUGUGAAAUCCCCGGGCUCAACCUGGGAACUGCAUUCGAAACUGGCAGGCUAGAGUCUUGUAGAGGGGGGUAGAAUUCCAGGUGUAGCGGUGAAAUGCGUAGAGAUCUGGAGGAAUACCGGUGGCGAAGGCGGCCCCCUGGACAAAGACUGACGCUCAGGUGCGAAAGCGUGGGGAGCAAACA